rnacentral:lncRNA from 1 species
CGGAGAGGAGAAGAAACUUAAAAAUGUAGAUACGGGAACUAAUAGAAAUGAUGAUUGCUUUUUCAUCCUUCAGCCUUUCUAUUUCACAUCUUUUCAUCUCUCACAAUUCUUUUUAUUUGCAUUAAAUGUAUUAUUAAAGUAGUCGUUUGGGAACCAAGAUAUUUUGAAUAUCAAUAAACUUUUAAAAUACACUUAAUAGCAUACAAUCAUCAAA